rnacentral:tRNA from 1 species
AGACAUUUAGCUAAGUUGGUUUAGAGCACUAUCUUGACAGGAUAGAGGUCACUGGUUCGAGCCCGGUAAUGUCUA